rnacentral:rRNA from 1 species
CCACUUCCGUAGGUGAACCUGCGGAAGGAUCAUUAAAGAGUAAGGGUGCUCAGCGCCCGACCUCCWWCCCUUUGUUGUUAAAACUACCUUGUUGCUUUGGCGGGMCCGYUUCGGKCUCGAGCCGCUGGGGAUUCGUCCCAGGCGAGCGCCCGCCAGAGUUAAACCMAACUCUUGUUAUUUAACCGGUCGUCUGAGUUAAAAUUUUGAAUAAAUCAAAACUUUCAACAACGGAUCUCUUGGUUCUCGCAUCGAUGAAGAACGCAGCGAAAUGCGAUAAGUAAUGUGAAUUGCAGAAUUCAGUGAAUCAUCGAAUCUUUGAACGCACAUUGCGCCCCUUGGUAUUCCGAGGGGCAUGCCUGUUCGAGCGUCAUUACACCACUCAAGCUAUGCUUGGUAUUGGGCGUCGUCCUUAGUUGGGCGCGCCUUAAAGACCUCGGCGAGGCCACUCCGGCUUUAGGCGUAGUAGAAUUUAUUCGAACCUCAAGGAGGAGAGGAACUCUGCCGACUGAAACCUUUAUUUUCUAGGUGACCUCGAUCAGGA